rnacentral:misc_RNA from 1 species
UCCCCGUUAACCGGGGCAGUCCCCCUAGAGUUCCCGGCAUGACCCGUUGGCAACUAGGGGCGAGGGUUGCGCUCGUUGCGGGACUUAACCCAACAUCUCACGACACGAGCUGACGACAGCCAUGCACCACCUGUGACCGUGCCCCGAAGGGAGAGUGUGUUUCCACACCUGUCACGGACAUGUCAAGCCCAGGUAAGGUUCUUCGCGUUGCGUCGAAUUAAACCACAUGCUCCACCGCUUGUGCGGGCCCCCGUCAAUUCCUUUGAGUUUCAACCUUGCGGUCGUACUCCCCAGGCGGGGUACUUCCUGCGUUAGCGCCGGCACCCAAGGGGUCGCUCCCCCAGGCACCUAGUACCCAUCGUUUACGGCGUGGACUAC